rnacentral:rRNA from 1 species
AAACCAGCACCUCAAGUGGUCAGGAUGAUUAUUGGGCCUAAAGCAUCCGUAGCCGGCUCUGUAAGUUUUCGGUUAAAUCUGUACGCUCAACGUACAGGCUGCUGGGAAUACUGCAGAGCUAGGGAGUGAGAGAAGUAGACGGUACUCGGGAGGAAGUGGUAAAAUGCUUUGAUCUCUCGAUGACCACCUGUGGCGAAGGCGGUCUACCAGAACACGUCCGACGGUGAGGGAUGAAAGCUGGGGGAGCAAACCGAAUUAGAAACCCCGGUAGUCC